ACCAAAGACGGGGAUCUUCGGACCUGUCGGUCGAGGCGCGGUCUAUGUCCUAUCAGCUAGUUGGUGAGGUAACGGCUCACCAAGGCGAUGACGGGUACGGGGCCUGAGAGGGUGUUCCCGCACACUGGGACUGAGACACUGCCCAGACUCCUACGGGAGGCUGCAGUCGAGAAUCUUCGGCAAUGGGCGAAAGCCUGACCGAGCGACGCCGCGUGGACGAUGAAGGCCUUCGGGUUGUAAAGUCCUUUCGACCGCUAGGAAUAAGUGUAGGCUAAUACCCUGCACGAUGACCCGGCGGUGGAAGAAGCUCCGGCUAAACACGUGCCAGCAGCCGCGGUAAUACGUGUGGAGCAAGCGUUGUUCGGAAUUACUGGGCAUAAAGGGCACGUAGGCGGAAUGUCGUGUCUGGGGUGAAAUCCCCCGGUUUAACCGGGGAAUUGCCUCAGAAACUGGCAUUCUAGAGUGGAAAAGGGGAGAGUGGAACUUUGGGUGUAGCGGUGAAAUGCGUAGAUAUCCAAGGGAACGCCGGUGGCGGAAGCGACUCUCUGGUUUCCAACUGACGCUGA
rnacentral:rRNA from 1 species